GGCGGCAUGCCUCAUACAUGCAAGUCGAACGAGGUCUUCGGACCUAGUGGCGCACGGGUGAGUAACAUGUGGGAAUCUGCCUGAAGGUUCGGAAUAACUGCGGGAAACUGUAGCUAAUACCGGAUGUGUCUGUAAAGAGAAAGAUUUAUCGCCUUCAGAUGAGCCCGCACUAGAUUAGCUAGUUGGUGAGGUAAUUGCUCCACCAAGGCUACGAUCUAUAGCUGAUUUGAGAGGAUGAUCAGCCACACUGGGACUGAGACACGGCCCAGACUCCUACGGGAGGCAGCAGUAGGGAAUAUUGGACAAUGGGGGAAACCCUGAUCCAGCAAUGCCGCGUGAGUGAAGAAGGCCUUCGGGUUGUAAAACUCUUUCAGCAAUGAAGAUAAUGACAUUAAUUGCAGAAGAAGCCCCGGCUAACUUCGUGCCAGCAGCCGCGGUAAUACGAAGGGGGCUAGCGUUGUUCGGAAUCAUUGGGCGUAAAGCGUAUGUAGGCGGAUCAAAAAGUUAGAUGUGAAAUCCCUGGGCUUAACCCAGGAACUGCGUUUAAAACUAGUGAUCUAGAAUUUGGUAGGGGUUAGUAGAAUUUCCAGUGUAGAGGUGAAAUUCGUAGAUAUUGGAAAGAAUACCAGUGGCGAAGGCGACUAACUGGGCCAUUUUUGACGCUGAGAUACGAAAGCGUGGGUAGCAAACAGGAUUAGAUACCCUGGUAGUCCACGCAGUAAACGAUGAGUGCUAGUCGCUGGGACAUUAGUUUCAGUGUCGACGCUAACGCAUUAAGCACUCCGCCU
rnacentral:rRNA from 1 species